rnacentral:rRNA from 1 species
UACGGGAGGCAGCAGUAAGGGAUAUUGGUCAAUGGGGGGAACCCUGAACCAGCCAUGCCGCGUGAGGGAAUAAGGCCCUACGGGUCGUAAACCUCUUUUGCCGGGGGAUAAGGACGCCCACGUGUGGGUGUUUGAAGGUACCCGGAGAAUAAGCAUCGGCUAACUCCGUGCCAGCAGCCGCGGUAAU